CAGUAGCCACGGGAAUACAGAGGGUGCGAGCGUUAAUCGGAUUUACUGGGCGUAAAGCGUGCGUAGGCGGCUUUUUAAGUCGGAUGUGAAAUCCCUGAGCUUAACUUAGGAAUUGCAUUCGAUACUGGUUAGCUAGAGUGUGGGAGAGGAUGGUAGAAUUCCAGGUGUAGCGGUGAAAUGCGUAGAGAUCUGGAGGAAUACCGAUGGCGAAGGCAGCCAUCUGGCCUAACACUGACGCUGAGGUACGAAAGCAUGGGGAGCAAACAGGAUUAGAUACCCGGGUAGUCCCUGUCUCUUAUAC
rnacentral:rRNA from 1 species